rnacentral:rRNA from 1 species
GAUGAGCGCUGGCGGCGUGCUUAACACAUGCAAGUCGAACGGUGAAGCAGAGCUUGCUCUGUGGAUCAGUGGCGAACGGGUGAGUAACACGUGAGCAACCUGCCCCGGACUCUGGGAUAAGCGCUGGAAACGGCGUCUAAUACCGGAUAUGAGCUGCGAUCGCAUGGUCAGCAGUUGGAAAGAUUUUUCGGUCUGGGAUGGGCUCACGGCCUAUCAGCUUGUUGGUGAGGUAAUGGCUCACCAAGGCGUCGACGGGUAGCCGGCCUGAGAGGGUAACCGGCCACACUGGGACUGAGACACGGCCCAGACUCCUACGGGAGGCAGCAGUGGGGAAUAUUGCACAAUGGGCGGAAGCCUGAUGCAGCAACGCCGCGUGAGGGAUGACGGCCUUCGGGUUGUAAACCUCUUUUAGCAGGGAAGAAGCGAAAGUGACGGUACCUGCAGAAAAAGCGCCGGCUAACUACGUGCCAGCAGCCGCGGUAAAAC